rnacentral:lncRNA from 1 species
UUUUUUUUUUUUUUUAAAGGGCCACACCUGUGGUGGCAUAUGGAAGCUCCUGGGCUAGGGGUCAAAUUGGAGCUGCAGCUGCCAGCCUACACCACAGGCAUAGCAACUCAGGACCCGAGCUGCUCUGCAACCUACACCACAGCUCAUAGCAACACUGAAUCCCCAACCUACUGAGAGAGGCCAGGGAUUGAAUCCACAUCCUUGUGGAUACUAGUCAGGUUCAUUAACCCUGAACCAUGAUGGGAACUCCCAGUGUGGCUUUUGAUAUGGGAUCCCCUCCCUUGUCCCUGCUUCUUUUGCUCAAAAAUGACAUCCUUGAGUAAGCCCAUUUUUCUCCUUGAAGGAGAAACAAAAGGUAAGGGGGGAGGGUACCAUGUUAGACUUUGCAUCAAACCCAUUACUGCCAGCUACAGGGUGACUUUGACCUCAACUGCCCCAGGCCCAUCCUUGUACAGUUUGGGAAAUUGAGCUCUUGGGAAGGGCUUUGCCCAAGACCCCAGGGUAAGUUUGCUGUGGAGCCAGGACUGGUCCUCUCCUGUGUACUCCUUCACGUUGCCAAAGCCCUGCCCACCUUAACAGGGGAGGGGGUACUCCAUUGGGCCUGGUCAGCAGGGGACACAGCCACAGUGGUGCCCACCAUGCUAACCUUAAAUGUCCCUCUCCCAGCCACAAGGCCUGAGAUCCUUUCUUGGUCACAUGGAUGUUCACUUUACAGGAUUCUGUGUGCACAGAGAGAGUACCCUUUGUUCCUUCCCUCCCUGGAGCUAUAAUUAAAGCAAGCACUCCUCUUCCCCACCCCCACCCCAGAAGGGGGCCAUGUUGUGGGACCCACCAGGUUCCAGGUGUGUCUCUUUACUGCAAGGAAGCUUAGUAAGCCUUCUCAUAACAAUCCUUAUUUAGAGCCAAAUAUAAACAUUAAAGGCAGCAAGAUAAAAUCAUGGGAAAAAACCAACAAACAAAGCCCAUAAGUUUCUAGUUCAAAUUUGGGCUCUGCCACUCUAAUCCUGUUAUCCAUCAGUGCUGAACUUAAUCCCACUAUCAUCACCACACUUCAGUAGAAUGCUUCUUUCAAGCUGGCCGGAAUAUUUACCUUUGAUGUUACUGCUAGCAGGGGGCCUUGUCCUUAUUCUCCACUGAUGGAGUGCCAGGUGUGGCUUCCACCUUCAAGUCUCUCUGGCUCCACAAGAAUGACGGACAAAACAGUUGGAGAAGAGAGUGAGAUAGGAUCCCCCUUAGGCUCCAGCUGCACCCCUUCUGCAUUAAAGGAUCAAAGGGAGGGAUGAAUUAUUGUCUCAGCAGGUUGGGGUGGCCCUGCUCUCUGCCUUUCCCCAUUGGAACUGAUUUUCUUUCUUUCUUUCUUUUUUCUUUCUUUCUUUCUUUCCUUCCUUCCUUCCUUCCUUCUUUCUUUCUUUUGCUUUUUAAGGCUGCAGUCACAGCAUAUGGAGGUUCCCAGGCCAGUGGUGUUAUUGGAGCUACAGCUGCCAGCCUAUACCACAGCCGCAGAAAUACAGGAUCCAAGCCAUGUCUGCAGCCUACACCACAGCUCAUGGCAAUGCCGGAUCCUUAACCCACUGAGCAAGGCUAGGGAUUGAACCCACAACCUCAUGGUUCCUAGCUGGAUUCAUUUCCGCUGUGCCAUGAUGGGAACUCCUGGAGCUGAUUUCUUAACUGAUUUAUUUACCUCCCUGGCCCUUUCUUCAUCUUGCUGAUUAAUAGUUUUCUUGGGGGUUCUGGGAAAUUUACAUUCAGUUGUUACUAUAGCAACCAGCUCUCUUGCACAGGAUCCCAUAGAAAAUGCAUUUUGGGCCUUCUGAUGGAGCUGGGUUUACAAGGAUCUCAGCAUAUGCUGAGGCAGAAUGGGCACGAUGGUGUUCUACUGAUAGGAGUAAGAAUUAGGAGCGAGGAUGUGAAAUGGUCUUGCCACGCUGUAAAGUGGGAAGGAUGGUUUUAGCGCCUUUGCUCUCCCCUUCUCUUGUCUCUCUUUCACUGGACAGCCCUUGCCCUCAAUGUUCUCUCUCAGGUCCCCAGAAAGUUAGUUCCCCAUGGAACAGUGGUACAUGGGGGUCAUGGGGAGGCUCAUUUUCUUUUAGCAUAAGGGAGAAUUUGUAGCAGGCAGAACCAUCUGAAGAUCCAGUUGGCAGCCUUGUGAGGUGGUGAUCUCCCCAUCACUGGAGGCCCGUAGGGAGGAUUGCAUGGGGUAAGGGUGGUAUGCGUGGAAUCUUUGGGUCCCCUUGGCCCUGGGGUAAGAGAGUUGAAAUGAGCCUGCUCUUGAGACCAGAGCUCACCUUCUCCCAAUCUAAGCAGAAUGUCAGAUUUGAGAAUUUUAGGUAUCUGGGAGGUCUUUUUGUUCUAAACUCAAUGCCCAGCACCCUGCCUGGCCCAUGAAUGAAUGAAUGGAGUCUUUAGAGUUUUAUUAAGUGUUUGGGCAGAAUCUACUAGCACUUUAUGUGUUCUUUUAUUCUAAUAAGAAUCUACGUUUUUUUUUUUUUUUAAGGGCCACACCCGCAGCAUAUGAAAGUUCCCAGGCUAGGGGUCGAAUUGGAGUUGCAGUUGCUGGCCUACACCACAGCCACAGCCAUGCAGGAUCUGAACCAUGUCAGCAGCCUAUACCACAGCUCAUGGCAAUUCAGUGGGAUCCUUAACCCACUGAGUGAGGCCAGGGAUCGAACCCACAUUCUCAUGGAUACUAGUUUGGGUUCAUAACUGCUGAGCCACAAUGGGAACUCCAUAAAAAUCUACAUUUUAAAGCAUGGGCCAUAUAACAACUUAGAAUAGAAACCUAAAAAAGAGGUUGCUGGAGUUCCUGUCGUGGCGCAGUGGUUAACGAAUCCGACUAAGAACCAUGAGGUUGUGGGUUCGGUCCCUGCCCUUGCUCAGUGGGUUAAAGGAUCUGGCAUUGCUGUGAGCUGCGGUGUAGGUUGCAGACGUGGCUCGGAUCCUGCGUUGCUGUGGCUCUGGCGUAGGCUGGUGGCUACAGCUCCGAUUCGACCCCUAGCCUGGGAACCUCCAUAUGUCGCAGGAGCGGCCCAAGAAAUG